rnacentral:rRNA from 1 species
AUAUGCCUACAACAUAGCGUUAAUGCAUCGAAUCCCAUUAGAACUCCACAGUUAAGUGUGCCCAGGCUAAAGUAGUACUGGGAUGGGUGAUCGCUCGGGAAGUCCUAGUGUUUUUCAUGCC